rnacentral:rRNA from 1 species
AGAAUCAACGCUGGCGGCGUGCCUAACACAUGCAAGUCGAACGAGAAAGUGGAGCAAUCCAUGAGUAAAGUGGCGCACGGGUGAGUAACACGUGACUAACCUACCCUCGAGUGGGGAAUAACUUCGGGAAACCGAGGCUAAUACCGCAUAAAACCUAAGGGUCAAAGGAGCAAUCCGUUUGAGGAGGGGGUCGCGGCAGAUUAGUUAGUUGGCGGGGUAAUGGCCCACCAAGACGAUGAUCUGUAUCCGGCCUGAGAGGGCGCACGGACACACUGGAACUGAAACACGGUCCAGACUCCUACGGGAGGCAGCAGUGGGGAAUUUGCGCAAUGGGGGAAACCCUGACGCAGCAACGCCGCGUGGAGGAUGAAAUCCCUUGGGAUGGUAAACUCCUUUCGAUCGGGAAGAUAAUGACGGUACCGGAAGAGAAGCCCCGGCUAACUUCGUGCCAGCAGCCGC